rnacentral:lncRNA from 1 species
GGAACCAAAAACUCUUCGGCCAAAAACAAAGAAGAAAAAAUAAAAUGAAAGAGCAGAAAAAUACUCAAACAAACCCGAGAGGUACACGACAUCUCUUCAAAAAUUCAGCACCAAAGGCAAAAAGAGGGAAAACAUACACAAAACCUAAAUAAAAGGUAUACCAAAAUGAGCAGUAUACCCCUUUGGCCAAAUUUCCUGAGUAACAAAGUCCACAUUCGGCUUACACCUCCUCUCCCCUCACUUCCCUUGAUUUUC